GAUGAACGCUGGCGGCGUGCCUAAUACAUGCAAGUCGAGCGAACGGACGAGAAGCUUGCUCUUCUGAUGUUAGCGGCGGACGGGUGAGUAACACGUGGAUAACCUACCUAUAAGACUGGGAUAACUACGGGAAACCGGAGCUAAUACCGGAUAAUAUUUUGAACCGCAUGGUUCAAAAGUGAAAGACGGUCUUGCUGUCACUUAUAGAUGGAUCCGCGCUGCAUUAGCUAGUUGGUAAGGUAACGGCUUACCAAGGCAACGAUGCAUAGCCGACCUGAGAGGGUGAUCGGCCACACGGGAACUGAGACACAGUCCAGACUCCUACGGGAAGCAGCAGUAGGGAAUCUUCCGCAAUGGGCGAAAGCCUGACGGAGCAACGCCGCGUGAGUGAUGAAGGUCUUCGGAUCGUAAAGCUCUGUUAUUAGGGAAGAACAAAUGUGUAAGUACCUGUGCACAUCUUGACGGUACCUAAUCAGAAAGCCCCGGCUAACUACGUG
rnacentral:rRNA from 1 species